AAGGAACCCUGGAGUUCUGGCUCCCAAGUCUCUUCCUCAACCACCUGCCAAGAUCAGGGGUCCAGGUUUUCGGAAAGGAAAAGAGGUCUGCCCUCCUGGGCAACCAGGCCAUCUGAGAAUGGUGGAAAGAGUGUCAGUGUGACACUGAAAUCUCAGCUUGGACACUCACUGGCUGGUGACCUCAGGCAAAUCGUUCAUCUCUCUAAGUCACAGUUUCCUUCUCUGUGAAAAUGCAGUAACUAAUACCCAUCACAGUGGUACUGUCAGCAUCAAAUGAGAUUAAGUAUAUAAAGAUGGUGCCUGGUACAUAGUAGGGCCUCAAUUCAUUCUAGCUCCUUCCCUGUCCCUUUCCCAGUGGUAUACACUGAAUCUCCCCUCACUGGCAGGGAGAGGGAGCUUGGGGGGAAUUUGGGGUGCAGGAGUACCCAGCAUUCCAUACACCAUGAAUCUAUGCUUCCUGUCGUCCUACCAAGAAGUCUGGUUUUGCUUUGCAAGGACUCUCUUAUUUGGGGGGAGGAGGGGGGAGAGUUAUGGCUUUGCUUCCUGGGCCACCUGAACAUUCCAGAGAAAUAUCCCUUUUCUUUACCAUUUCCCUUCCCUGUGGCUCUCAAGUUUGAAAAAGCAUUAUUGUUUUGAAACCUGUAUGGCUUCCUGAACCAAUGUCACCCCAAUAAAUUCAAUAAUAAAUAAAUAAAUAAAUAGAAAUUAAAAAGCA